rnacentral:rRNA from 1 species
UGAGGGAUAUUGGGCAAUGGGGGCAACCCUGACCCAGCGACGCCGCGUGGGUGAAGAAGGUCUUCGGAUCGUAAAGCCCUUUUCGGUGGGAAGAGGAAGGACGGUACCACCGGAAGAAGUCUCGGCUAACUACGUGCCAGCAGCCGCGGUAAAACGUAGGAGACAAGCGUUAUCCGGAGUUACUGGGCGUAAAGGGCGUGCAGGCGGAGGACUAAGUUUGGUGUGAAAGCGCCUGGCUCAACCGGGCGAGGCCACCGGCGACUGGUUCUCUAGAGGACGGCAGAGGGGUGUGGAAUUCCGGGUGUAGUGGUGAAAUGCGUAGAGAUCCGGAGGAACACCAGAGGCGAAGGCGACACUCUAGGCCGUACCUGACGCUGAGACGCGACAGCACGGGGGAGCGAACGGGGAUUAGAAACCCCGGUAGUCCGUGCCGUAAACGAUGCCAGCUAGACG